GAGUUUUUCAUUAAGGCUCUGAAAGGAUGGAGGAAACAAAGAGACCAAUUUGGGGCUCUAAGAAUGUAAAGAGUCAUAAUAUUCCACAAGAUUUUACCACUUUACUCAUUUUUGUCUCAAAAUCGUACACUUCACAUUUAUCCUUCAAGGCACAAUGCCCUUUAUUUUUAUUUUUUGAGAUGGAGUUUCGUUCUUGUUGCCCAGGCUGGAGUGCAAUGGCAUGAUCUUGGCUCACUGCAACCUCCACCUCCCGGGUUCAAGCAAUUCUCCAGCCUUAGUCUCCUGAGUAGCUGGGAUUACAGGUGCCCACCAGCAUGCCCAGCUAAUUUUUGUAUUUUUAGAAGAGACAGGGUUUUGCCAUGUUGGCCAGGCUGGUCUCGAACUCCUGACUUCAGGUGAUCUGCCCACUUUGGCCUCCCAAAGUGCUGGGAUUACAGGUGUGAGUCACCGCGCCCGGCCACAAUGCCCUUUAUAUUGCAAUAAACUCUUUAUAUAAUAAAAUAUAAAUAUAUUGCAGUUUCUCCUAAUUCACAGCUUAUGUAAAACAUGUAUUAAGGCAACAGACUAUUUGUUCCUUUUGAAGAAAAUUAAUUACAUCUUUGUGUGUGAGAGAUUCCUACAUGUUAACAAAAAUAUAGUGAGUCAAAUUCACAAUUUGGUUAAAAUUAGGCCUUGAAAUCAGGCUCUUCCCUUUAGCUAUAUGACACAUUUGUACUUUACAUGGCUUCAGAUGGCCACUACACUUGACAAGUCAUCUGUCAAAAGUCAAAACGGUCUCUAACAAUGAUAGCUAGGAUAAAGCUGUGAACAUUUGUGAAAUUCUACUGCUGGAGUGUCUCUAUUUUCCUGUCCCCAUCAUAGAUGGUGAAUUUGCCUGUCUUUUUGGACAGCUAAUGAAAAUUGUUCUGCCAGUUCUGUGACCUGGGAGAAAGUAACUUAGCCUCUCUGUGCCUCUGCUUCCUUAUUUGUGAAACCGAAAAAGAGAACCCAGAGGUUUCUUUGGGGAAUAAAUGAGUGAAUAUGUGCGAAGUGAUUAGAACAGGGUCUGGCACACAGGGUGUACUCAAUAAAAACUGUACAUUUUGUGGUAUUUAAAUUGUUAGUACAGAGUAUUUUCUCGUGAAGCUAGUUUUGGGUGGAAAGUAGUGCAUGAGAAACAUUGUUAUGGUAACUUUCUAGUGGAGGGAAUUGCACACUUUUUACAAAUGUUUCCUUUGUCCCCUAUAUCACCAACAGGGAUUAUCUCAAUGAUGAGGCCUUAUGGAACAAGUGCCGAGAGCCUCUCAAUGUGGUUCCCUGGAAUCUGACCCUCUUCUCCAUCCUGCUGGUCGUAGGAGGAAUCCAGAUGGUUCUCUGCGCCAUCCAGGUGGUCAAUGGCCUCCUGGGGACCCUCUGUGGGGACUGCCAGUGUUGUGGCUGCUGUGGGGGAGAUGGACCCGUUUAAACCUCCGAGAUGAGCUGCUCAGACUCUACAGCAUGACGACUACAAUUUCUUUUCAUAAAACUUCUUCUCUUCUUGGAAUUAUUAAUUCCUAUCUGCUUCCUAGCUGAUAAAGCUUAGAAAAGGCAGUUAUUCCUUCUUUCCAACCAGCUUUGCUCGAGUUAGAAUUUUGUUAUUUUCAAAUAAAAAAUAGUUUGGCCACUUAACAAAUUUGAUUUAUAAAUCUUUCAAAUUAGUUCCUUUUUAGAAUUUACCAACAGGUUCAAAGCAUACUUUUCAUGAUUUUUUUAUUACAAAUGUAAAAUGUAUAAAGUCACAUGUACUGCCAUACUACUUCUUUGUAUAUAAAGAUGUUUAUAUCUUUGGAAGUUUUACAUAAAUCAAAGGAAGAAAGCACAUUUAAAAUGAGAAACUAAGACCAAUUUCUGUUUUUAAGAGGAAAAAGAAUGAUUGAUGUAUCCUAAGUAUUGUUAUUUGUUGUCUUUUUUUGCUGCCUUGCUUGAGUUGCUUGUGACUGAUCUUUUGAGGCUGUCAUCAUGGCUAGGGUUCUUUUAUGUAUGUUAAAUUAAAACCUGAAUUC
rnacentral:lncRNA from 1 species